CUGGGAAGAACCAUGAGCAGCCAAUGUGACAUGUCAUCAAAUUUGAACAUGUCCAUUCAUGCCGAAGGUUCGCCUCUACCCACUCAGCCGAUGUUGCAAGAGAUCAUUGGAGAAGGACUGUUGUGAUCAACUUCUAAGCUGUCCAUGCAUGCACAAAUACAUACGUACGUGCAUACAUUAGUGCGUAAAUACAUACUGUGAUGGAUACAUGUUUAUGGACGAUAUAUAUAUAUAUAUAUAUAUAUGUAUGUAUUUGGAGGUCUCAAUGGUAUGCAUUUGGGAUACUAUUUAGGGAGUCAUUUGAUACCUCUGCCACAUGCUACGCUUGACACACAAACACUCAGAAAUUGUACAAGCAGUGUAAAUUAAGUCAAAUUAAACUGACAAGAUUGUGGAAGUAUAUGUUGUUGAGGCAAAGCCCUAAAAUUCGAUUCAUUGAACAAUCCAAACUUUUGAUUUGCGGACAUGUGGUUGAUGAAAUAGGACCAUUAUAUAUUUUUCAUUUUUAACCGUCCAGUACUUGUCUGCUGGUUGUGUUUUUCUUGCUUUAUUACAUGCACGAUCCAUGCCCUCACUAGCUUUUGGAUUUUGCAUACAGGAUGACAUGCUCGUUGAGAUUGUAAUAACUAUUGGCACGCUUUUUUCUUCUUCUUUUUUGCAGGGAAUGGCAGUGGUUGCUCUUUUAAGGCAUUUUGGAUGCCCUUGCUGCUGGGAACUUGCUUCAACACUGAAGAAAAUAUAACCAACAUUUGAUUCUGCUGGCGUGAAAUUAAUUGCAGUCGGUGUCGGCACUCCUGAUAAAGCUCGUAUUCUUGCCGAGCGGGUAUUUAGCUUUGUUUUCUUUUCAUUCAAUGCAGGCCUUUGUGGUAUACCGGGGCUACCUACAUGUGGGGCUCACCUCUCCACUGGCUCUAAGGCUGGCAUUGCGUUGGGGGCAUUUAUAGCACUUGCACUUAUUUUCAUCUGUUCCAUAUGCUGGUGGAAAAGACGACAGAAUAUUCUUCGAGCUCAGAAGCUUGCUGCAAGGGAUGCUCCGUAUGCAAAAGCGAGGACUCACUUCGUGCGUGACAUGCAAAUGACCAGGCCCUGCAUUCAGGGCCAAGCUCGAGUGGCUGCUGAGAUCGGGCCCCACUUACUCUUAGUUGAACUGCCAUUUGCUUUUGGUUCCACCAAUGUCAAUCCCAAUUCCGUUCGUUUAUAACCCGUCGAUUGAGGUUUUGCAAGUCACAUUCCACUGGUUCUGUCUCUAUGCAGAGCUUCCUCCUUUGAAGGGAAAAUAGUUCUGAAAAUCCCCCUGGCAGAAUUGAUUUCUUCCUCUGUCAUGUAUGCUGUUCUCAUGUAGUUUUUGUGGUUGUAAGGUGUAUAUCAGGAGUUAAUGUAUAUUCUGCAUUCUUUCAAGGAUUCCUUGGAAAAUCAUGUUUUCAUGUGUGCUGGGAACUAAAGCCUUCUUGCCUCUUUGUAAGUCAAACGGAAAUCACCACGAGGGUGUCUGCACAUGAUUUGAUUGCUAUUUGUAAUAUGAAUGCAUUGUUUUCUUUCC